rnacentral:lncRNA from 1 species
GCGGGGGGCCCGAGACCCUCCGUGACGUCGGGCCCGGGGACCCCUGCGGGUUUCCCUCGCCCAGGCUCGAGGGGGCUCUGGGGCUGCCCCCUUCCCCCCUGUCCAGUCACAGACAGCUCCAUGCAUCCCCCCCUGAUCUGGAAAGCUCCCCCAGAGCUCUGGCAUCCUUCAAGUAAACCCAGCCUGCCAGAGAGAAUUGGGGAGGGGGUGUUAUAGAUUCCCAUCAUGUCCGUACCCCAAACCCUCCUAAAGCAUCGCCUAUCCGGGCCGAGAAGUGGGAAGGCCUCAUCAUUUCAUCACCUCUCCUAAUUGGUUCAUCACGUCCCUCUUCAGUUCGUCCUCCACACGACUGGCAAAAUGAUUUAGCGUCUCAAGGCGACUCUCCUCAGCUCAAUAAACUCCUUAGCUCCCCUUCACUACCUAGCUGCCCUCAUACCGAACUGGCACACAAAAGGCUUUUAAUAAAAGCUUACUGAUUGAUU